CACAAGAGAACCUGGGUAAGGUGCAGUUUGGGCAGCAGCAAAUAUCUGGCUUGAAUCAUGGCUGGAUGUUUACUGUAUUAUUUAGAAGGAAAGCUGGAGCUGUGAUGAUUCCUAAAUAGAAUAAGACAGGCUGACACAGACAUGAAGACUGGCAAGUCAGAAUAAGCUCCUGGUGACCUUGAAUCUACUUUCUGCUGCUGAGAAUUUACCUAUUUUGGAUGCUUCAUGAGACGAUUCCUCUUAGCAAAAGGGCACUGUGUACCCUCCAAGGCUGGAAAUGAUAGGUUUUCGGCGAGGAGUGAAAAUAUUGUGCUGACAGCCCUUUGCCUGUGUAGAGCAGGGUUGUUUACUCGCGCUGGAGCACAGCUUUAUUGAAGCAGAGAGUCAUGGUCCCAUCAUCAGGGUUGCCUAGCAACCAGUCUACGCCACUCCACAGAGUUUCAGAAUGGGCUGGACCACAAGUACCCACUUUGGGGGAUUUCCAGUGACAGUCCUACUCUCACUCCAUCACAUCGCUUCUAAAAUCUGAGUCACAUGGUUCAAAUUUCACAGUACAAAGUGUGUUCUUCAGAUCUGGGGUUCUCUCCAAAAUGGAUAAUCAUUAUUGAUUUUGUAAUGCAAUGCCAAGACCAUCAGUAAGGUUAUGUGAAGUUGGCAGUUCCCAAGGGCUUUAGGCUUGAAGCUGUGGGUCAUACCCCUUCGGAAACUUGGUCCCCAAGAGAAAUGUAUGCUUCUGAAAACCACAGGUGCAUGAAUCGUGUUUAGUAAAUGACUACUAAACUGAAAUCAGGACUUGUCUAUAUCUUGGCUUCUCAAACUUGAAUAUGCUUAUCAUCUGGAUAGCAAAAGCAUUCCUACACGUUGAGGCCUGCCAGCGUGGGUGUCACCCAGGAGCCACUCGGAAAGGCUCAUCGGAAACCACCCCGGACUGACUGAGGCAGAAUCUCUGGGGGCAGGACCCAGGCCUCAGCAUAAAAACUCCAGGUGACGGAAGAGCUCCCACCUAACAGGUGUGUUGGCAUUGUUGUAGGUGACUGACGUAGUUUCCCAUCUCACAACUCUACCUCCAUGAAGAAAAGUCAUGGAAAAUUGAGACUUUGGGCUGAGUGUGGCUCAUCCCUGUAAUCUUAGUGCUUUGGGAGGCUGAGGUAGGAGGAUCGCUUGAGGCCAGGAAUUUGAGGCCAGCCUGAGCAACAUAGUGUCUCUUCAAAAAACUAAGUUUAUUCUUUCCUCUUUUUUAGUUUUUAUUUUACACGGCUCACUGUGGCUUUGACCUCCCAUGCUGAAGCGAUCCUCCUAUCUCAACCUCUCAAGUAGCUGGAAGCACAGGCAUGCACCACCACACCUGGCUAAUUUUUUUCUUCCUUUUUUAAAGAGACAGUCUUGCCAUGUUGCCCAGGCCCUGUUGACCAGGAAAAAAAAAAGUUUUUUUUCUUUUUUAAAGAAAGAAAAUAAAAGAGACUGAGAAACCACAGAAAUAAAGAAGCGCUGAUGACAAUGCCUGCUUGCUGAUGGUUACGAUGAUCAUAGCAGUGUGCAUUUUGUAUGCAUGAAGCCUGCGACUAAAUAAACGUGUGGGGAAAUAUUUGUAAGGAAAUAAGCUAUUAAUAAAAUAAGCUAAAAUCAC
rnacentral:lncRNA from 1 species